UACGUAGGGGGCAAGCGUUGUCCGGAAUCAUUGGGCGUAAAGAGCGUGUAGGCGGCCCGGUAAGUCCGCUGUGAAAGUCCAGGGCUCAACCCUGGGAUGCCGGUGGAUACUGUCGGGCUCGAGUCCGGAAGAGGAGUGUGGAAUUCCUGGUGUAGCGGUGAAAUGCGCAGAUAUCAGGAGGAACACCGGUGGCGAAGGCGGGUCUCUGGGCUGUAACUGACGCUGAGGAGCGAAAGCGUGGGGAGCGAACAGG
rnacentral:rRNA from 1 species